UGUUGAAGCAUCAUAAAGCUCCUGUCCCAAAUGAUCUCCAACAGUUAAAAGAGUGGGGAAACCUCAAGGGCCAUAUCUAAAAACAGUUGCAGUCAACCAGGAAAAAUAGAACAUUUUUAAAUCAUUUAGUUGUUUUUAUUUCUUGCUUCCUUUUAAGAAUAUGUAACUACAGGGGGCAGCUGGGUAGCUCAGUGGAUUGAGAGCCAGGCCUAGAGAUGGGAGGUCCUGGGUUCAAAUCUGGCCUCAGACACUUCCCAGCUGUGUGACCCUGGGCAAGUCACUUGACCCCCAAUGCCUAGCCCUUACCACUCUUCUGCCUUGGAGCCAAUACACAGUAUUGACUCCAAGACAGAAGGUAAGGGUUUAAAAAAAAAAAAGACUAUGUAACUACAAACUUAAAAAGGAAAAUAGAUGAAGUAGAAAACUUUGAUAAAUCAUUUGAGAGAGAAUAUGAAUACACAUAAAUGCAUGCAACAAAUAUUUAUUAUUGUCCCUACUAUGCUUUAAGUGACAAGGACUAGCCAAUAGCACAACUACACAAAUCAAAAAUUCAAAUUGUCCCUGAUCCCAAAGAGCUUAUGUUCAACUAGAGAACAUAUCUGUAUAGGGCUUCAAUAUUUUUCUCCAAAGGUGCUUUCCUGGCAAAAACCUUAAGUAGAUAUAAAAAAGCACUGCCUCUUAUUUGCCUUAAGUAGAAACUGAGGCUAAGGCAAUUGGCAUGGCUUACAUAAGAUACUACAUGCUCUUAUACAUGUCUCCGGGUUCUUAAAACCUAUGCCACACAAUUCAAUUUGAAGAUAUUUAUCCUUCCCCAAAAUGAAAAUAAUCUUAUUUUAAGGACUGUUUUUCUAAUUUUUUCUUUUCAGCUUUAAUCAAUGGGAUGAAAAUCAAUUUGAGAAAUCAUGGAAGAUUCUUAAUGGAAUGCCUACCUAAGUACCUGAGUCCUAUGUGAAUCAUAUUAAAGACUUUUUUUUAAUGACUAUAAUUUGAGGUUUGAUUUUUCAGAAACAGUGCUUAAAUUGUAGAGAGAGAGAAAAGAAAGGGAGAGAGGAAAGGAAAGGAAAGGAAAGGAAAGGAAAGGAAAGGAAAGGAAAGGAAAGGAAAGGAAAGGAAAGGAAAGGAAAGGAAAGGAAAGGAAAGGAAAGGAAAGGAAAGGAAAGGAAAGGAAAGGAAAGGAAAGGAAAGGAAAGGAAAGGAAAGGCAAGCCAUGGCCACAAAUAUCCUAUAU
rnacentral:lncRNA from 1 species